GACGAACCGUGCGAACGUUGUUCGGAAUCACUGGGCUUAAAGGGCGCGUAGGCGGGCGGUCAAGUCAGAGGUGAAAUCCCACGGCUCAACCGUGGAAGUGCCCCUGAUACUGACUGUCUCGAGGGAGGUAGGGCGUGCGGAACUUCCGGUGGAGCGGUGAAAUGCGUAGAUAUCGGAAGGAACACCGAUGGCGAAAGCAGCGCGCUGGACCUCUACUGACGCUGAGGCGCGAAAGCGUGGGGAGCGAACAGG
rnacentral:rRNA from 1 species